AUAUAUAUAUAUAUAUUUCUAUUUUCUUUCUUUUCCUUUUUUCUUUUUCUUUUUUCUUUUUCUUUUUAAUUUUUAUUUUUAAAUUUUAAAUUUUUAUUUCAUUUUUUUUAUGUUUUAAUUUUUCUUUAUCUCUUUGAGCUAAGUGGCAUCUUUGCUUUUGUUUUUGUUUUUGAGCUAUGGAUUGGAAUGAAUUUGGGGUGGUUGUGGUCUAUGUAAGACAACUAAAUGUCUAUGAAUAUCUAUUUCUAUUAAUUAAGUUUCUCAAUCUGUUACGAGAAAUAUAUUUAAAAAUUAUAGUAUUCCAUAUUCCCGUAUCCGUGUCCAACUCUUGAUCCAUAUCCCUGAAUCUUGUAUUUUUCAACUUGGGGUGUCCGACACCUAGAUUCACACCCGCACCCGAUUCCCAUACCCAAGUCCGAGCAACUUAGUUAUAGGGUAUUUUGGUGGUCGGUUUCCUGGGAAAAGAGCUCUUAGCCUCAUUGUGGAGACUUGGAAAGUUAAUGUAAAUAUUCACCAUCAUGCUAGUGGCUGGAUUAUUUUUGAGUUCAUGGAGGAGGAAACAAAAACUCAAGUGCUGCAAGGAGGACCGUGUAUGAUAUAUGGAAAGCCUUUGUUUCUUAAAGUCAUGCCUAGUGAUUUUAACUUUGCUAAUGAGGACAUUAGUUGUUUUCCUGUUUGGAUUCAACUAACCAACUUACCUCUCUCCUUAUGGGGUAGUAGUUCUCUGUCCAAAAUAUGCUCUAAGGUGGGCAAUCCCAUUUGUGUGGACAAAUACACGGCAAGUAUGGAAAGAAUCUCCUAUGCUAGAGCACUUGUGGAGAUUGAUAACAGCCAAGGAAGUUAACAGCCACAUUCAGGUGGCUUUACCUACUGGAAAGCACAUAAACAAGUCACUGUUUAUGAAAAGAAUCUCCAAAUUUUGUUCCAACUGCAUGGUUAUGGGGCACUCCAUCAAUACUUGCAAAGUAUUGGAGAGUAUUAAGGCUAAGAAAAUUGCAGAACAGAAGAUCCUAGGCUCAACCUCAAAUCCUAAAGCAGUUAACAAUAAAACUGCAACAGAGGCGGAGCAGAACAAGGAAGCCCAGGUUGAAUGAGCGAUAAAGAAGACUAGGGCAGCAAAAGGUCACAUAGAGGACAAGAAUCCAAGUGGCAUAGAUGCAGUAGCUUCUCCUAACAAGUUCCAGGUGUUGGAGGAUAACCUGGAAACAGGGGCAGAUUCAGCUUCCCGAGUCCAGUUCAAAACAAUUCCAGAGCAUCCCCAUCCAACAACAAACUCAGGAGGGUGGAGAGAUCCCCACAGAGCACAAAAUCCCAGAACCGGAGGAUCAGCUGCAGAAUACUGAAUCCAGUUCAGUACAUCCCCAGAGGAAGCAGCAACAGAUCCCCAAAACUCAGAGUGGAGGCUCAGCUGCAAUCCAGAAAAAGAGUUCAGCCCAGCCUAUCACUGCCAUCUUAGCUGGAAAAAACUUAGAUAAGUCUCAACAGCCUUCCACCUACAAUCCUCCCCCCCACCCCCCCACCCUACAAUCCUCCCCCCCACCUACCACGGCCAAAGGGGAAGAAGGAAAGAAGAAGAGGGACAAAAAGGCUCCGUAGAAGAAUGGAAAAGCAGUGCCCUUUGCUGAAUUCUGUGCAGAAAUGGGGGGAGACUCCCCCACCCCAACCAAUUAAUGAUAAUUUCCUUUUGGAAUAUUAGAGGCCUGAACACGUCUCUAACACAGAAUAGGGUUUUGCAGCAUAUAAGGAAGAAUAAGGUGGCAAUCAUGGGAAUUUUGGAAACAAAACUCUCUCAGCAAAGCUUGGAUGGAAUUGCAAGGAAAAAGUUUAGAUUCUGGAGAAUGGAAGAUAACUUUCAGCUCAAUCCGAAUGGCAGGAUCUUGAUUCUCUGGAAGGAUGACAGAGUUAAUCUGGAAAUUAUAGAGAAGACAGACCAGGCCAUACAUUGUGUGGCUUCUUGUAAGUCCACUUCCACAAAAUUUGCUGUUAGUUUUAUUUACGCUUUCAAUACUAAUGUUUCUCUUGAGCUUCUUUGGCUUCUUUUGGGAGACUUUAAAAAUGUUCUGAGCAAGGAGGAGAAAGCCAAUGGCCUUCCAGUCAAGGCAUAUGAAAUCUGAGACUUUAGGAAUUGCUGUUAUGAUUUGGGAAUCUCAGACUUGAGAUCCACUGGAGCUUUCCACACAUGGUCUAAUAAUUCAGUUUGGAGCAAGCUAGACAUAGCCAUGGUAAAUACCAGAUGGAUCCAAGACGGUUUGACAGCCCAGGUGAAUUUUGGACUCCCAAGAAAACACUCGGAUCACUCACCUUGUGUGGUAUCCCUUUUUGGAGAAAUUGAUCGAGGGGCCAGCUCUUUUAAAUUCUUUAACAUGUGGGUUCAGCAUGAGAGCUUUCUGGACUUGGUGAACAACAGUUGGAGCAUGCGAGUGGAAGGCACAGCCAUGUAUAGAUUAUGCAAGAAACUCAAGACAUUGAAAGAUCUAUUAAAGGUUUUAAACAGACAAAA
rnacentral:lncRNA from 1 species